UUUGUCACCUUAGGAGGCAUGGAAUCUUAAGGGCUUAUACAUCUGCUGUUGGGAGGUCCUUUCAGCCAGGGUAUUCGAUUCACCUUGGACACAGUUUCUCUGGCUUUCCCCUCACCAUCGCCAUGCAGGAGCUCCUGAAACUCUCCAUCUUCUUUGUCCUCCUUACAACAGGAGCUUCUCUAACAUGUGAAGUUUGUUCGGGCGAAGGAUACAUCUGCAACGGCACAUGGACGACCUGCCCUCCCGGGAAAGAUACCUGCAUGGUUGCAUACUCCGAAAAUACUCUACGUGAGUGGGAUUGAGGUUAUUGAAACAUAGGU